GCGUGCGUCGGCUACCAUGCAGUCGAGCGGUAGCACAGAGAGCUUGCUCUCGGGUGACGAGCGGCGGACGGGUGAGUAAUGUCUGGGAAACUGCCUGAUGGAGGGGGAUAACUACUGGAAACGGUAGCUAAUACCGCAUAAUGUCGCAAGACCAAAGUGGGGGACCUUCGGGCCUCAUGCCAUCAGAUGUGCCCAGAUGGGAUUAGCUAGUAGGUGGGGUAACGGCUCACCUAGGCGACGAUCCCUAGCUGGUCUGAGAGGAUGACCAGCCACACUGGAACUGAGACACGGUCCAGACUCCUACGGGAGGCAGCAGUGGGGAAUAUUGCACAAUGGGCGCAAGCCUGAUGCAGCCAUGCCGCGUGUAUGAAGAAGGCCUUCGGGUUGUAAAGUACUUUCAGCGGGGAGGAAGGCGAUAAGGUUAAUAACCUUGUCGAUUGACGUUACCCGCAGAAGAAGCACCGGCUAACUCCGUGCCAGCAGCCGCGGUAAUACGGAGGGUGCAAGCGUUAAUCGGAAUUACUGGGCGUAAAGCGCACGCAGGCGGUCUGUCAAGUCGGAUGUGAAAUCCCCGGGCUCAACCUGGGAACUGCAUUCGAAACUGGCAGGCUAGAGUCUUGUAGAGGGGGGUAGAAUUCCAGGUGUAGCGGUGAAAUGCGUAGAGAUCUGGAGGAAUACCGGUGGCGAAGGCGGCCCCCUGGACAAAGACUGACGCUCAGGUGCGAAAGCGUGGGGAGCAAACAGGAUUAGAUACCCUGGUAGUCCACGCCGUAAACGAUGUCGAUUUGGAGGUUGUGCCCUUGAGGCGUGGCUUCCGGAGCUAACGCGUUAAAUCGACCGCCUGGGGAGUACGGCCGCAAGGUUAAAACUCAAAUGAAUUGACGGGGGCCCGCACAAGCGGUGGAGCAUGUGGUUAAUUCGAUGCAACGCGAAGAACCUUACCUGGUCUUGACUCCCCAAGACUUGCCAGAGAUGGUUUGGUGCCUUCGGAACUGGAGAA
rnacentral:rRNA from 1 species